GCCGGCGAUCCGCGGUGCGCAGGCGCGCAGGGUCGGGCGCGGCUCGGGGGGCGUUCCCGCCCCGCCCUGGGCGGGAGAGGCGGGAACUGCGACGCCUCCGCCCCGGGGGCCCCGGGCGCCGCAGCGCCGGAGUGGGGCAGCACUCGGGCUUUGUCAGCGUCUCCUUCUGCAGCGGAGCAGCGCUGUCGCCCUGCAGCCUCCCUGCUGGUUGCUCCCCAUUCUCUCCCUCUCUUUUUAUUUCAUUUUUCUGCGAGGGCACAGCCGGGCGCUUCCUGCGGCCUGACUCGCCGGGUGCGAGUGCGCGGCUUUCCCGGGGCGGAGGGUUCCUGCCGCCGUCUGGUUUUCUGCCAGUCUUUCCCUCCGAAGGCGCGUUUGGCCGCGGGCGUGGUGUGUUCGGGUGCAAGAGCCCGCGCUGCCCGGUGUAUUGAGUUCAGUGCGGAGGGAACAGCCUGUGAGGAGGGAGGGGGUCCCUGGGUUCCUCUCCAUCCGUCUGCUUGUGCCUUUCCGUUCACAGCCAGUGAUCGGGGAGGAAGGUUUGGGGAGGAUGUGGUGUUCAGCUCAUGUGUGGGCCAGUCACCCCUAUGCAUCACUUUGCUCCUCUCAUCAGCCUGUGGGGAUGUUGCACGAGCAGCAGGAGGAAUUUCCCUCCGGUUCGUAUCUUAAUGGUAACGUUGAUGGAGAGAACAGCUUCUUACCCCUGUAACUUUUUCUCCCCCUGCCCCUACUCAGCUACCCCAUUCACAUCACCAGCAAAGGUUUGCAGUUGCUGCUAGACAGGCUGCUGGCAUUUUAUUUGUUGUUGUUUAAAUGAGGGCUCCUUGCACCCUGAGUUUGCUAAACAACAUCAUUUUCAGUUUGGAUGCCUAGGCACAGGCACCCCAGGAAGGAAGCAGUGGGCCUUGAGCUUCUCUGGUCUGACCUGUUGUUUCCCCCGCAGUUUUGGGAACCAGCACAGCACUGGAGAUGAGCUGCAGGAGGGACGAGGGUGAAGGCAUGGCCCUGCCACGUAGGAAACAUCGUGUCACCUGAAGUUCAGGGUUGGUUGUUUGUAACAUCAGAGCUGCCUCUUGGCAUCUCUCAGCAGCACUUGGUGAAGCCGUCCUGGGGUGAAUGUGAACCUGGUGCCUGGAGCUGAAUGUUCCACUCCUUGUUUCUUCAAACCGUUGCUGCUUCUUUCCUGGCAAUGAUGUGGAGGACGAGUGAAUCUGCACAGAUUAACUAUUAAGUACUAUCUAGUAUCUUUUUAGCUUAGCAGCUAAAAACUUUGAACAUGUGAAAGUUGGAGAGCUGUGUAUCUGUAAAACCUUUCUUAGACGUUAUAAAACCAUCGACAGGUUCAUGUGUCUUUGGUUGCUUUGAACCUGCUGAUUCAAGACUUGGUGGUGAUGUCACUCUUGCAUAAACAGUAUUUUUAUCAGGGAAUAAGUGGUUUGCUUGUUCCUUAGACUAUAUCUGCUUGACCUGCAUUUAUUAGGAAUUUCUGUGUUUCCUCUAGCUUGCCAUCCUGCCUCCUUAUGUAUUUUUUAGGCUCCAGUAUUCCUUUUCUUGUGGGCUUAGGUCUCUACCCAGGAUCUCUUUCACAAUCCCUGUCCCCCUCUUUCUUCCCACAUAUGCUGAUGAUUUUGGGGGCCCUUCUUUCCCUGGUUGCACUUGUCCUGUCUGUCUCAUCCUAAUUUAUCUUUACUCUUUCAGAUUAUCAACAUUUUAAAGCUCUUCAGGGAAAUCAGGAAAAGUUUUGCAGAAAUUUGGGAUGUUGAUGGAAGCUAUCAGUUAUUUUACUGUGCUGUCUCCUGGGAGCUGGAGCACUCCCUGAAGCGCUGGAACUGGUGGAAAAUAGUUUUUGAAAAGUAGUACACCACAAAAAUGCAAUGGAGACUGGGCCGAAGAGGUUGUCUACAGUAAGUGAGGCCUUCAGGAAAGCUACUGAGUGGAGAUUGCUACAGUGAGGCAUUGAUAUGUUCAGGGCUCCAUAAAGUGCCCACAGCUCAUUACAAAAGGUCUGUUGCCUGCCAGGACUCUGAGCUUUCUGGUCUCCUGUAUGCGUCCCGCGGCUUUGCCUUUGGUCUGUUGCCAAUGGCAUGCCCUAGAUGACACACGAGGCAAUUAAAGAAAUCCUGGAGAGACAAGAUUGUUUCCCAUGAGGUCACCCCUGAAAGAGAAGCCGUGUGUGGAUACACAUGGCAUGGGUGCCAAGCUGGUAUCAGGCUGAGGAACAAGCUGGAUGCACGUGCCUGCAAAUGUCCACUUGGCAGACCCUGUGUCUCCUGCUCCCAGAGGGAUCUGCUGGAAACUCAUCUAUGACCCUGUCACCAGAGCAGCUCAAGGCUUGCCACACUUUAAGGGCAAGUAUCCUCAAACCAUCCAGGAGUACAAAUACCAUGUUACAGACAGAAAUCUGCGGCGAAGAGAGCUGAAUAAUUUGCCUUAUGUUGUGAGGAAGACCUGGGCGUAGAAACAGAGACCCUUGUAUAUCAAUCCUGAGGUUACCUUUAUCUCUUAGGAGUGGUACCCAGCAUGGGUGUAAGCAGAGCUCCCAGGACCUCUGGCUGGAGGCACCAGAGGAGUCACAGGCAGCUGGUACAUACAAGGGAGCAGGACAAGAGUGAAGGAGCAAAAGGAGGGAGAGGAUUGUGACCCGCAUGAAGGCCAGAGCUGGUGGGAGGUUGUCACAGCCACCAGGACGCGUGGAUGGAGGAGUAUGGUGAUCUUCUCGUGUCUCUCAAAGCAGUACUGUUCUGAAAGGGUUACCUCAGUUUUCUGAGCUUAGAGCAUGUAAAACACAGAGGCAUGACCAGAGCAGAGAGAGAAGGAAAAAAUAUCUCACAAGCCAAGAAAAUAACAAAUGGAGGAACCAAGCCUAAAUCUUGCAUUGUGGGAGGGUAAGAGGGGGUUCAGGGAUGCUGGGGGCAGGGGGAAUAGGAAAUCAUCAUUAAGGGGAGGGAGGAAAGGAGGAAGAGAGAGAGAGGUGAUAUGAUAGAAAUGAGCAGAGGUGGAACAAGGAAAGAGGCUCACAGUGAAUUUAUUUAAUUUCCAGUUGAAUGUCAUCCUGGAAGAAAACCCCAGUUCCUGUGAAGCUGUGAAGACUGGGUCCCUCCUGGGGGGACUUGGCUGGUGCCAAGCAGCAUUACUGUUGAGAUAUAUUUUAGAAUAUACCAUUCCACAGCAGGUGCGUGCAAUUAGAGGAGAGCUCUCCAAAAUAGCAGGCGGCUGUCAAUUUUUUAGCAAAUGGUGUUGCCCUUUUUUUCCUUUGUACAACUAUGUAGAAAUUUAUUCUGGGAUGCAUCAUCUUUACAGAAACAUUUUCAAAGGACCUAUUAUUUUUACCCUCCUGUUGCUUUUUGUGGCCAGACAAGGAGCAGAAGGCUAUUCAAAUAGCCACUGUGGGUGAGCUUUUUUUCACUGGGGGGAAGUUAAUGAAUUCUAAUGAAUAAGCAAGUUUCAGGAAACCUUUAUUGCUGAAACCAGUGUGCAAAUUUCCUCCUGGCUGGAAUUUAACCAAAUUACAAUGACUGCUACCUUUGCAAAGUAUUACCAUUGCUAUUGUUUACCUUUUUAUAGUGUGUCACAAACAUAUAAUUCUUCAGAACACUCUGUAUGACGAACUUGCAUUUACAUCCAAAUUUUCUUGAAGGCAAAACUGAGUCAUAAUGAGUUUCAUAAUUCAACCAAACCACACAGACAUUGUGUGGCUGAUACUUUGAUAAGGUAUGUGACUGAAUAUCGUGAUUAGAUUUUUGUCCCACAACAUGGAUUGACAUUAAAUAGUGUUUCAAAAAUAUCCACCGAAGAAACGAUUUAUCCUGAUGAGUUCCAGUGUUUUACUGGGCUCUGGAGCCCUCAGUACAAGAAAGACAUGGACCUGUUGGAGGGAGGCCACCAAGAUGGUCAGAGGGCUGGAACACCUCUCCUGUGAGGACAGGCUGAGAGAGCUGGGGUUGUUCAGCCUGCAGAAGAGAAGGCUCCGAGAAGACCUUAUUUCAGCCUUGCAGUAUUUAAAAGGUGCCUAUAAGAAGGAUGGGGACAGACUUUUUAGCGGGGCCUGUUACAAUAUGACAAGGGUUAAUGGUUUUACACUAAAGGAGGGGAGAUUCAGGCUAGAUGUGAGGAAGAAAUUUUUUACGAUGAAAUUAGGUGAAACACUGGCACAGGUUGCCCAGAGAGGUGGUGGAUGCCCCAUCCCUGGAGACAUUCCAGGACAGGCUGGACGGGGCUCUGAGCAACCUGAUCUAGUUGAAGAUGUCACUGCUCAUUGCAGGGGUGUUGGACUAGAUGAGCUUUGAAGGUCCCUUCCAACCCAAACUACUCUAUGAUUCUGUGAUUGUUUCUUGGAUUAGGUAAACACCUUCUCCCCGAACAAUGGACUGUAGCUAUUGUGGUGUAAACCAGAGAUUUACUGCAAAAUGUCUGCAGGGUCAAGAAUAGAAAUAGAAUCUGGGCAUCGCUUAGGUAGGUGGUUGUUUUCCCCCCUGAAUGGUAGAGGUCAGAAAAUAGGUUUAUAUUGCCCUGGCUUCUUUGAUUCCUUCCCAAGUGCUUUUUGCUCAGCAAGGGAAGUGGGCUGGAAACAUUCUCUCACAGCUCUAUGCAACACAGGCUGCAGCUGUGCUGGGGACACAGCAGUGACACUGGCUGCCAGAGGAGGGUGGCAUAACGAGGCCCAAAGUGAGCCAUGAGCAGCUCAGGCCAAACAUGACAACUCCCUUUUCUGGUCUUGUGUGGCAGCUCCAUGAACGGUGUGGAGCAUAUGGAAUAUAUCUUAAUGGCCAGGUACUUUAAUUGCCAGAGCCACUUCUGGGUGGACUAUUUGCUGCUCUUCUUGAGCACAAAGUGUUUUCCUACCCUUCCAAAUACCCUUUGCACUCCAAAAUGUUCCCAUGAGUGGCUCUCUGAGUACAAUUAAGUGCUUUUGCUCUGGUCCCUUGAAGUGGCUAUGGCUACUGAAACCUCAGGUGUCGUAAGUGGCGGGUCCCCACUCUUGCAACACAAGCAAGAAUACACACAGUAUUUGUGUUCAGAAACACGGGCUGCUUUACUCUGUGGCCAAAAGAGCUUUUGCCAUUCCCAGCUGCAGAGCUACGAGUGAUGUCUCUGUGUCUUGCUGGGAUCGGUGACCACAGUGACUAUUAUAAACUAGUCAGUCUGGGCAUAUAAGCUGUACUGUGUUCACAAAGAGCAAAAAUUUAUUUGUAAGUUGUUUAACUGUGCUGUGUUGCUUCCAGUGGAGCUGUAUCACUGUUGUCUACUCCAGUCUGUCUGUCGUUGUGAACCUUGUAGCCAGCUGCUUUGUGAGCAAGGCGCCUGGGAAAUGGAAGGAAUGUUUCCACUCCUAAUUUCUGUGAUCCUUUGGGGUGGAAUUGGCAAAAAUAAACUCCUAAAUGCCACUGCAGACCAAGCCCUCCUCGUAAGGCACCACUCGUGGUACAGUGUACAGAUCUAUGCAUCUUGUCUCCUUUUCUGCAUGCUUUCACAUCAGCCAUUUACCUUCCAGGAGUGAAAUGGUGUGUAUAGAUACUUGCAGGUCAUAAUUUUAUUUCUGAAUUCCUGCAGGCUAUGUGAGACAGUCCUGGAAG